rnacentral:tRNA from 1 species
GUGCCCGUAGCUCAGGCGGACAGAGCAGCGGUUUCCUAAACCGCGUGCCGGGGGUUCGAGUCCCUCCGGGCGCACCA